AGUGAACGCUGGCGGUAGGCCUAACACAUGCAAGUCGAACGGCAGCACAGUAAGAGCUUGCUCUUACGGGUGGCGAGUGGCGGACGGGUGAGGAAUACAUCGGAAUCUACUUUUUCGUGGGGGAUAACGUAGGGAAACUUACGCUAAUACCGCAUACGACCUACGGGUGAAAGCAGGGGAUCUUCGGACCUUGCGCGAUUGAAUGAGCCGAUGUCGGAUUAGCUAGUUGGCGGGGUAAAGGCCCACCAAGGCGACGAUCCGUAGCUGGUCUGAGAGGAUGAACAAGCACAACUGGAAUGAAAACAGGGCCCGAAUUCUACCGGGAGCCGCAAUGGGGGAUAAUGGGACAAGGGGGCAAGGCCUGUCCCAGCCAAACGCGUUGGUGGAGGAGGCCCUUCGGUUGUAAAACCCUUUUUUUGGGAAAAAAAAGCAACAGGUUUAUAACCCCGCUGUUCUGACGGUACCCAAAGAAUAAGCACCGGCUAACUUCGUG
rnacentral:rRNA from 1 species